rnacentral:rRNA from 1 species
GACGAACGCUGGCGGCGUGCUUAACACAUGCAAGUCGAACGGAAAGGCCCUGCUUUUGUGGGGUGCUCGAGUGGCGAACGGGUGAGUAACACGUGAGUAACCUGCCCUAGACUUUGGGAUAACUUCAGGAAACUGGGGCUAAUACCGGAUAGGAGCUCCUGCUGCAUGGUGGGGGUUGGAAAGUUUCGGCGGUUGGGGAUGGACUCGCGGCUUAUCAGCUUGUUGGUGGGGUAGUGGCUUACCAAGGCUUUGACGGGUAGCCGGCCUGGGAGGGUGACCGGCCACAUGGGGACUAAGAUACGGCGCAGACUCCUACGUGAGGCAGCAGUGGGGAGUAUUGCACAAUGGGCGGAAGCCGGAUGCAGCGACGCCGCGUGCGGGAUGACGGCCUGCGGGGUGUGAACCGCUUUCGCCUGUUACGAAGCGUGAGUGACGGUAAUGGGUAAAGAAGCACCGGCUAACUACGUG